CAGACUUCAGAGGUCUCACUGAAGUGUAUUAAUGUUUAGAUUUUAUCUUUAAAAUGCAUGGCUGUGAGCAAUCAAAUAAUAUAAUAAAAUAUAAUAACCCAUUUAGUUUCUACCAGUUUAUGUCUCGUGGCUCGCGCUGGGAGGUCCAAACUGGUCCACGCAGUGCGGUUAAAACCCGCCCGCUCCACGCUGUCCAGUGGCUUGCGCAGGGAUUUUGUCCGCGCUACGCGGUUCUUCUGUCGAACUCGGUUUGGAUCAACUUUUGAGUUGUUUGGCUUCCCAUAGUUAAGAAUCUCAAAUUGCGGUCAUAUACUGCUUAAAACUCCAGCACUCUAUAAUAAAACAUCCCCACGGAGCCCUGUAUCCCUGAUUGUUUUUUUUCCAGAGAAAAAUGGAACGAAAACGUUUCGUAAUAUAUAGGAUUGUAGGUUUACUGUGGGAAGAUGGAAGGUCUUCAUUAUGAUUAAUCCAGAUUUUUUUAUUAUUUCCUGAAGCUCUUCUCUGAGUUAAUGCAGUCUUUUCUCUCUGCUGUGUGGGACUGCCUCAUAUUGUCAUGCAUUAUAUAACGGGUGCCCACUGCCUUGGUCUUGUCAUCAUGGAGGCGUGAGUUGUGGAAAUUACCACGAAGGCAGGGAGUAAGCUCUUUCAGUUUCAUUUUCCUUUAUUUUUACUUUCCCAUAAAUUAUUCUAAGCCUGUGGUCACCCACCCUGGAUCUCAAGCCUGGAAAUCAGCUUUCCUUUCAAGUUCAGACACCUCAGAAGACGUGUACUAACUAACAAGCACAAGCUUUCCAUGCUUUACAAUGUGUCACAACUUUGUGCAGGGUGUUUUCUGGAGUCUAAUGAUAGACAGCGUAGCUUAAAAUAGAUUAAAUGAAAUAUUUCUAAAAUCAUGUUUAAGAAAGACAGCAUACUGUAAAGGAACAACUGAAAUCGGAGUUAAUCUACUGCCAGUGAAUCAUGAUAACCGGUGAUAUAGGCAUAUGUGGUAUGCUACUGAUUUUGCCUAGUGCAGUAUUUUGAAUGCACAUAUCGGCGACGCUAUAUAGACUAACGAAUGUGACAGCAGGAGCAUGACCCUUUUAUCACAAUUAGCACCGUUUGACACUGUAAUAUACAGUUGUGAAAGGGAAAUGACUCAUAAUCUGUUAUCACCCAGAAGAAAAUGGGUUUCUACUUUCAUGUUGAUACUGGUUUCUCUAAAGCUUUCUUACUAAUGUUUACUCAGGAAGUUUUCCCUUACCAAGGUUACCUCUGGCUUGCUCAUUUGGGAUCUAAAACUAUAUCCAUAUUUCUGUAAAGUUGCUUUGUGAUAAUGUGCACUGUUAAAAGCUGUAUGUAAAUAAAAUAUUUAAAAAAUCACUCAUCCAUUUACCCCGCUUUGUGCCCGACGCUCCCUGGGAUUGGCUCCAGGUUCCCCCACAAUCCUGAAGAAGGAGUAAGCGGUAGAAGAUGGAUGGAUGGCUGGAUGGACUCAUCCAUUUAUUGGUUGUUGUUAACCUGGGCUAACCAUAUCUUUAUAAACCUUGCUUUAUGUUCAAAGGCAUUGUCAGGCUGGAACAGAUUUCAGCUUGGUAUCUUAGUUCCAGUAAUGGGAAAUCUUAAUGUUACAGCAUACAAAGACAUUUCAGACAAUUCUGUGUACUUUGUAACAAUGCCUCAUUUUGAAGAAGGCCAACAUGUGGGUGUAAAUGUCAGGUGUCUACAUACUUUUGCUAUAUAGUCAACUUGCAGCAUCAAUAUAUUAUUUUCUGCCAUAGGUUUGGUACAGUUUGAAUCUUUAGUAUGUGUACUUAUGGAACAGUGUAACUUUGUAAAGAUUUGAGAGUGCACUUUGAUAGUGGGUGACAGUGUGUGUUACAGUGGGGUAAUAAUGAACUUUUGGAAUCACAGUAAGCAUAUUAUGAAUUAUCUGAGUAAAACAUGUACCUUACAUUAGUUCAUGUGGAUGGAGUUUUUUUUUGUUUUUUUAUACUUACUGGUUUCCAUGAGAACAAUAAAAAAUAGCUG
ensembl:lncRNA